rnacentral:rRNA from 1 species
ACCCGCUGAACUUAAGCAUAUCAAUAAGCGGAGGAAAAGAAACCAACAGGGAUUACCUCAGUAACGGCGAGUGAAGCGGUAACAGCUCAAAUUUGAAAUCUGGCUCUUUCAGGGUCCGAGUUGUAAUUUGUAGAAGAUGCUUUGGGUGAGGCUCCGGUCUAAGUUCCUUGGAACAGGACGUCAUAGAGGGUGAGAAUCCCGUACGUGACUGGGUGCCUUUGCUCGUGUAAAGCUCUUUCGACGAGUCGAGUUGUUUGGGAAUGCAGCUCAAAAUGGGUGGUAAAUUUCAUCUAAAGCUAAAUAUUGGCCAGAGACCGAUAGCGCACAAGUAGAGUGAUCGAAAGAUGAAAAGCACUUUGGAAAGAGAGUUAAACAGUACGUGAAAUUGUUGAAAGGGAAGCGCUUGCAACCAGACUUGCAUGCUGUUGAUCAUCCGAGAUUUUUCCCGGUGCACUCGGCAGUAUUCAGGCCAGCAUCGGUUUCGGUGGGCGGAUAAAGGCCUUGGGAAUGUAGCUUCUUUCGGGGAGUGUUAUAGCCCUCGGUGCAAUGCGCCCUACCGGGACCGAGGACCGCGCUUCGGCUAGGAUGCUGGCGUAAUGGUUGUAAGCGACCCGUCUUGAAACACGG